GGCUACCUGUUGCUUUGGAUCCGGGAGUGAGUCAAGUGACAUACAUACACAAGAAAUAUUUAGUUAUGAGGAUUGAAGAAAUUAAUGAUCAUUCAGUCAUUGAGGAUUUGAGAAGAGACAUCAAUGUUCCAGUAGAGGUGUUAUUGAAGUUGUGGCUGUCAAUAGUCCUUUUAUUGAUGCUAAGUAUAUGGGCACCAUAACUCUAAUCCGACAUGAGCAGUCCAACCACGACAGUGAGCAGUGGAACCGCAAGAUAGAGAUAGAUACAAGUAGAAUAUAACUGGUCAUAUUUCUAAAAUGAUCACACUACUUAUGGUGCCGGAAGAGAAGGCAUCAGUGAUAGUGGGCUAGGUGAUGAGGGCAUCAAUACAAAGAGAUUAAUUCACAACUUUGUUCUUAAUAGGUUGUACAAAUA